rnacentral:tmRNA from 1 species
GGGGGUGAUGUGGUUUCGACGGGAGCCGAAGGCACUUAAAACUGCACGCCGUGCUUUUGCCGUGUGCACGUAAAACAAACGGCGAAAAAUAAGUGCCAACUAUAACUAUGCUUUGGCUGCUUAAUUAAAAAGCAGCCCGUCCUUUAUAACUCGUGCCUGUCCGGGUUAUAAGGGGCGUGGACAAAGACAGGCACUUGCUGGGACUUUUCUCAGGGAGUCCCAACAAGUUAAAUCCACCUGAGAUAGCUCCAUCUCGGGCGCCUACCCUCUAAAGAUGGAGCGAAACUCUACAAAGGUAGGCUAAGCGUGUAGAUGUUUUAAGUGCUUGGCUUCCGGACCCGGGUUCGACUCCCGGCACCUCCACCA